rnacentral:rRNA from 1 species
ACUAAGUGGUAGGAGAGCGUUCUAUUUGCGUCGAAGGUAUACCGGUAAGGAGUGCUGGAGCGAAUAGAAGUGAGCAUGCAGGCAUGAGUAGCGAUAAUUAAUGUGAGAAUCAUUAACGCCGUAAACCCAAGGUUUCCUACGCGAUGCUCGUCAUCGUAGGGUUAGUCGGGUCCUAAGUCGAGUCCGAAAGGGGUAGACGAUGGCAAAUUGGUUAAUAUUCCAAUACCAACAUUAGUGUGCGAUGGAAGGACGCUUAGGGCUAAGGGGGCUAGCGGAUGGAAGUGCUAGUCUAAGGUCGUAGGAGGUUGUACAGGCAAAUCCGUAUAACAAUACUCCGAGAACUGAAAGGCUUUUUGAAGUCUUCGGAUGGAUAGAAGAACCCCUGAUGCCGUCGAGCCAAGAAAAGUUUCUAAGUUUAGCUAAUGUUGCCCGUACCGUAAACCGACACAGGUGGGUGGGAUGAGUAUUCUAAGGCGCGUGGAAGAACUCUCUUUAAGGAACUCUGCAAAAUAGCACCGUAUCUUCGGUAUAAGGUGUGGUUAGCUUUGUAUUAGGAUUUACUCCGAAAGCAAGGAAACUUACAACAAAGAGUCCCUCCCGACUGUUUACCAAAAACACAGCACUCUGCUAACUCGUAAGAGGAUGUAUA